UCCCUGGUGGCUCAGCUGGUAAAGAAUCCACCUGCAAUGUGGGAGACCUGGGUUCAAUCCCUGGAUUGGGAA
rfam:TPA: Bos taurus chromosome 3, whole genome shotgun sequence.